UCUGGAGCAGCCUUGUGUGACCACACUGCUCACAGGUCCCCCAGGCGUGAGAGUCAGACCUCAAAGCAGCAAGUGCGAAGCUAAGAUCCCACAUGGACACACCUGGGUUCCUCAGCAGCUAUGCCUGAUCAGAGGCUGACCCAUACUCACACUUCCGCAGAGGUCUGGCCUUUCAUCUCACAUUUGAUCUCUGGUGCCUAUGACGUGCUGGGACUUGGUUUCACCUCCUGGAACGAUGUGGAGUGGUUGGUCACUGGCAGAACAGAUUCUCACCAAAAGUAGGAAAUUUGUGCAGAAUGUUUCGCCUUUGAGAGAAGAGCAGUUCUUUAGUAAGCAGAGCAGCAUCAGGAAGGAACAUGCCAAUUGCCUACAUACGCAGGAUGGGCGUUCGAUUGUAAUUGUGCCUACC